rnacentral:rRNA from 1 species
ACUCAAAUGAAUUGACGGGGGCCCGCACAAGCAGUGGAGCAUGUGGUUUAAUUCGAUGCAACGCGAAGAACCUUACCCAGGCUCGAAAUGUAAUGGACGAUAUCAGAGAUGGUAUUUCCCGCAAGGGCUGUUAUAUAGGUGCUGCAUGGCUGUCGUCAGCUCGUGCCGUGAGGUGUUUGGUUAAGUCCAGCAACGAGCGCAACCCUUAUCAUUAGUUGCCAACACGUAAGGUGGGGACUCUAGUGAGACUGCCUAGGUUAACUAGGAGGAAGGUGAGGAUGACGUCAAGUCCGCAUGGCCUUUAUGUCUGGGGCUACACACGUGCUACAAUGGUCGGUACAGAAGGCAGCAAGACCGCAAGGUGGAGCAAAUCCGUAAAGCCGAUCACAGUUCAGAUUGUAGUCUGCAACUCGACUACAUGAAGUUGGAAUUGCUAGUAAUGACGUGUCAGCAACAACGUCGUGAAUACGUUCCCGGGCCUUGUACACACCGCCCGU